rnacentral:tRNA from 1 species
GUAGUGGUGGUUCAGUGGUAGAAUUCUUGCCUUCCAUGUGGGAGACCCGGGUUCUAUUCCCAGACAGUAUA